rnacentral:rRNA from 1 species
GACGUAGGGCGCGAGCGUUGUCCGGAUUUAUUGGGCGUAAAGAGCUCGUAGGCGGCUUGUCGCGUCGACUGUGAAAUCCCGAGGCUCAACCUCGGGUCUGCAGUCGAUACGGGCGGACUGGAGUUCGGCAGGGGAGACUGGAAUUCCUGGUGUAGCGGUGAAAUGCGCAGAUAUCAGGAGGAACACCGGUGGCGAAGGCGGGUCUCUGGGCCGAUACUGACGCUGAGGAGCGAAAGCGUGGGGAGCGAACAGG